rnacentral:rRNA from 1 species
UGGGGAAUAUUGCACAAUGGAGGGAACUCUGAUGCAGCGACGCCGCGUGAGUGAUGAAGGACUUCGUUUCGUAAAACUCUGUUCUAUGGGAAGAAAAGGACUGUACCAUAGGAGUAAGGUCCGGCUAUAUACGUGCCAGCAGCCGCGGUAAUACGUAUGGUGCGAGCGUUGUCCGGAAUUAUUGGGCGUAAAGGUUGCGCAGGCGGCUUUACAAGUUGGAUGUGAAAUAUUGUGGCUCAACCACAAACGUGCAUCCAAAACUGCGAAGCUUGAGUUAAGGAGAGGUAAGUGGAAUUCCUGGUGUAGCGGUGGAAUGCGUAGAUAUCAGGAGGAAUACCGGUGGCGAAGGCGACUUACUGGACUUAAACUGACGCUCAGGCACGAAAGCGUGGGGAGCAAACAGG